rnacentral:lncRNA from 1 species
CGGUGAUAUCUUAAGUCGGCAUAGAUAGCUCUGUCACCGUAGAGUCGGUCGGUCUCGCAGUAUCUUCCGUUGGCAUCAACAGCACUGCGGCGAGAACGGUCAAUUACCUAUCCAAGUCUCGGUCGAGAAGGGUUUUCGAAUCCUUGUUGGUCGAGGUCAUCUCAUUAGCCUUCUUGGCGAGGUGAGGUGUCACAGUUAUUACAUUCGGCACAUUGCAAGCCGAAUUCGGUUCGUGAACUUUGUAAGAAAUAGCAGCCUUGUCUUCAGGCUCGAGAACCCAAGAGGCCGAGACGUGUUCCUUUCUCGGCCGCAAUCGCAAGACGCAGAAGUCAGUAGCGCGACCCAACGCAGCAUCAUCAAAUUUACUCCUCGGCCGAGCCCCGGCCGACGAGUUGGCA